rnacentral:rRNA from 1 species
AUGAACGCUGGCGGCGUGGAUAAGGCAUGCAAGUCGAACGAACUUCAUUUUUCCAGAGAUGCGAUUAUAUCAAGUCAAAGGUCGUUUGAAGUUAGUGGCGAACGAGGUAGUAAUACAUAGGAACUUCCCCCAAAGUCUUGAAUAAUCCGGAGAAAUCCGGACUAAUACAAGAUGGUCUCGCAAGAGUAAAGAAUUUCGCUUUGGGAAAGGCCUGUGCGGUAUCAGCUAGUUGGUAAGGUAAUGGCUUACCAAGGCUAUGACGCCUAGGGGGAGUGAGAGCUUGGCCCCCACCGAUGGUACUGAGACACGGACCAUACACCUACGGGUGGCUGCAGUCGAGAAUCUUCCACAAUGGACGAAAGUCUGAUGGAGCGACGCCGCGUGAUUGAUGAAGCCCCUCUGGGGCGUAAAGAUCUUUUAUGAGGGAAGAAGUUUAUUGACGGUACCUCAUGAAUAAGAGGCUCCUAAUCUCGU